rnacentral:rRNA from 1 species
AGAAUCAACGCUGGCGGCGUGCCUCAGACAUGCAAGUCGAACGAUUAAAGCUCCCUUCGGGGGAGUGCAUAAAGUGGCGCACGGGUGAGUAACACGUAAGUAAUCUACCCUCGGGUGGGGAAUAACGUUCGGAAACGGACGCUAAUACCGCAUAAUGCAGCGGCACCGCAAGGUGACAGUUGUUAAAGAUUUAUUGCCUGGGGAGGAGCUUGCGGCAGAUUAGCUUGUUGGUAAGGUAACGGCUUACAAGGCUACGAUCUGUAUCCGGUCUAAGAGGACGGUCGGACACACUGACGCUAGAAUAACGGGUCAGACUCCGUACGGGAGGCA